GGAGAAAUAGUCAAGAAUCAAGAGUUGAAAGUAGCAAAAGCCGCUCCCCUAUUUGAUGCCACUAUCUCUCUCAACUUCAAAGGCACUCUGGAGGAACAAUUCAGGUUAG